CACGGGGGGAGCAAGCGUUGUUCGGAAUCACUGGGCGUAAAGGGCGCGUAGGCGGACAGUUUAGUCAGAGGUGAAAGCCCAGGGCUCAACCUUGGAACUGCCUUUGAUACUGACUGUCUUGAGUUCGGGAGAGGUGAGUGGAAUGCCGAGUGUAGAGGUGAAAUUCGUAGAUAUUCGGCGGAACACCAGUGGCGAAGGCGACUCACUGGCCCGAUACUGACGCUGAGGCGCGAAAGCGUGGGGAGCAAACAGG
rnacentral:rRNA from 1 species